UGAACGCUGGCGGCGUGCCUAAUACAUGCAAGUCGAGCGAACGGACGAGAAGCUUGCUUUUCUGAUGUUAGCGGCGGACGGGUGAGUAACACGUGGAUAACCUACCUAUAAGACUGGGAUAACUUCGGGAAACCGGAGCUAAUACCGGAUAAUAUUUUGAACCGCAUGGUUCAAAAGUGAAAGACGGUCUUGCUGUCACUUAUAGAUGGAUCCGCGCUGCAUUAGCUAGUUGGUAAGGUAACGGCUUACCAAGGCAACGAUGCAUAGCCGACCUGAGAGGGUGAUCGGCCACACUGGAACUGAGACACGGUCCAGACUCCUACGGGAGGCAGCAGUAGGGAAUCUUCCGCAAUGGGCGAAAGCCUGACGGAGCAACGCCGCGUGAGUGAUGAAGGUCUUCGGAUCGUAAAACUCUGUUAUUAGGGAAGAACAUAUGUGUAAGUAACUGUGCACAUCUUGACGGUACCUAAUCAGAAAGCCACGGCUAACUACGU
rnacentral:rRNA from 1 species